AGCGCAGGCGGUGAUUUAAGUCUGAUGUGAAAGCCCACGGCUCAACCGUGGAAGGUCAUUGGAAACUGGGUCACUUGAGUGCAGAAGAGGAAAGUGGAAUUCCAUGUGUAGCGGUGAAAUGCGUAGAUAUAUGGAGGAACACCAGUGGCGAAGGCGACUUUCUGGUCUGUAACUGACGCUGAGGCUCGAAAGCAUGGGGAGCAAACA
rnacentral:rRNA from 1 species